GGCAGAUUGAGGGGUCUGGACCAACUGGAAAAGGCCACAGCCCAUCCCCAUGGUGACUGAGUUGUAUAUAGGGAGCUGCAUCCGCCCAUGUGCCGCAGGUUCUCUUACAUCGACCGCCUAAGAGUCGCGCUGUAAGAAGCAACAACAAGCUCUCCUCUUCCUCUCCGCCAUCCGCUCGGCAGCCUCAAAGCAGCAACCAUGCGUGAGUGCAUCUCCAUCCAUGUUGGCCAGGCUGGUGUCCAGAUCGGCAAUGCCUGCUGGGAGCUCUACUGCCUGGAACACGGCAUCCAGCCCGAUGGCCAGAUGCCAAGUGACAAGA